rnacentral:rRNA from 1 species
AUGAUUAAUUGCAUCGAGUGGAUUGUUACUUGUUGCGGACUUGCAACACGUAAAAUAUGCUGGCGUUUGGUUUCCCAUGUCAUGCAUGUACCAAUGGCAGGUACCAGUCGAUCCUUUAUCUGCAAAAUUUGUGACCGUUCCUUUGUCACAGGGAUCAUCUGUCUCUUUAGGCCUCGUUUGGUUUCACCGAAACCCCCCGGGAUCCCUGCCUUUUCCCCGGGCCGACAAACCACGAACAGAAUAAACCCUGGAAUUCUCACGAUCGCGUUUGGACGCCCACGAGAAAGGGGUACCCCUGGCCUUUCCCCGGGAAAGGCUCCCACGAGUGCAGACGUCGGGGAGGAAACCCUCGCUCGUUCUGUCUUGCACUCGUGA